CCUGAGUACGACGGAGCACGUGAAAUUCCGUCGGAAUCUGGGAGGACCAUCUCCUAAGGCUAAAUACUCUCUAGUGACCGAUAGUGAACCAGUACCGUGAGGGAAAGGUGAAAAGUACCCCGGAAGGGGAGUGAAAGAGAACUUGAAACCGUGUGCUUACAAGUAGUCAGAGCCCGUUAAUGGGUGAUGGCGUGCCUUUUGUAGAAUGAACCGGCGAGUUACGAUCUGAUGCAAGGUUAAGCAGAAAAUGUGGAGCCGUAGCGAAAGCGAGUCUGAAUAGGGCGAAUGAGUAUUUGGUCGUAGACCCGAAACCAGGUGAUCUACCCUUGGUCAGGUUGAAGUUCAGGUAACACUGAAUGGAGGACCGAACCGACUUACGUUGAAAAGUGAGCGGAUGAACUGAGGGUAGCGGAGAAAUUCCAAUCGAACUUGGAGAUAGCUGGUUCUCUCCGAAAUAGCUUUAGGGCUAGCCUCAAGUGAUGAUUAUUGGAGGUAGAGCACUGUUUGGACGAGGGGCCCCUCUCGGGUUACCGAAUUCAGACAAACUCCGAAUGCCAAAUAAUUUAACUUGGGAGUCAGAAUGUGGGUGAUAAGGUCCAUAUUCGAAAGGGAAACAGCCCAGACCACCAGCUAAGGUCCCAAAAUAUAUGUUAAGUGGAAAAGGAUGUGGCGUUGCCCAGACAACUAGGAUGUUGGCUUAGAAGCAGCCAUCAUUUAAAGAGUGCGUAAUAGCUCACUAGUCGAGUGACACUGCGCCGAAAAUGUACCGGGGCUAAACAUAUUACCGAAGCUGUGGAUUGUCCUUUGGACAAU
rnacentral:rRNA from 1 species